UCGCUCGAGUUUGGCAAAGUUCGUCAUCUGAGUCCACAACAGUUUGUGGAGAAGCUGGCAGUGGAGCUCCGAGUGAAAGGCGUCGUCGCUGGUAAAUAGCACUUGUCAGUUCUUCCAUCUCCGGAAAAAUGAGAUUCUUACCUGGUGCGUGCAAAUUCACGACGUUGUUCGCAGGCGAGAACUACCGCUUUGGAUACAAGGCAGCAGGGGACUCAUCAGAGCUCAAGAAACUUUGCAAGGAAUGGGGGCUGGACGUCUUUGUGGUGGAAGCUGUGAUGGACAAGUUCGACCAAGCGCCAUCGUCAGUGCAAGGCGAUGCCAGAGACCGGGGUCAGGUGUCGUCGACCAGGGUAAGAAAAGCUCUAGCUGAUGGUAACAUGAAGAGAGUCACAAACUUGCUCGGGAGGAACCACCGGUUGUUCAUGACACUUGACAAUGCAACGAGGAUACAGAUCGAGAGCGAAGAACAAGACCAUGAAGAACAAAGAGAGAAACGAGUGCUCUACAAGGUACCUCUCUCAGACUCAUGCAACCAGUAUCCAGCACAGGGAUCGUAUCGGUGCAAGGUAGCGUUUCAGGGGCUGGGACAGCAACAACAGACUUGGAAUGGAAAUGGUGGUGCGCUUGAGCGCUCCUGGGAAUGCGAUGUCGAGAUAACAGAGGACGAAGCUAGAAUCUGGGACUUGGAAACGCCAGAGAGCCUGGAACGGCGACAGGGAUUUGUGAGUAUAGAAUUCCGGUAGUAAAGUGACACUCUUACAAACUCUGGCGGUCCAGCGUGGCGGUGGGUUGUCCAGAGUGGCACUUCUAGUGGCACAGAGGCUCCACCAUAUCCAUGCAAACGUUGGCUAGCCCCCAAAAUCUGAGCUCCUAUUGGCCUCUCCAUCUCCUUAUCUUUUCCUGUGAACUCCGCCAAGUUAGUAGCAGUAGCAGCAAGGUUGCGGGCUUACCAUUCUCAAGGUUUGGAGCUCAGGAGCUCCCCCUUUCUCCUCAAGAGAUGUCGACCAGUAUCUCCUCCAGCCAGUGUCAUUCAAUGCUGGAUCCCAGGCAGAGGUACGCAGUCGACUUCUAU
rnacentral:lncRNA from 1 species